rnacentral:snRNA from 1 species
GUGCUUGUUUAGGUAGCACAUAUACUAAAAUUGGAACAAUACGGAGAAGAUUACAUGGACCUUGUGCAAGGAUGACACAAAUUUGUGAAGUGUUCCAUAUUUAA